UGGGAAUCUGCCCUUAGGUACGGGAUAACCCAGGGAAACUUGGGCUAAUACCGUAUGAUGACGUAAGUCCAAAGAUUUAUCGCCUAAGGAUGAGCCCGCGUAGGAUUAGCUUGUUGGUGAGGUAAAGGCUCACCAAGGCGACGAUCCUUAGCUGGUCUGAGAGGAUGAUCAGCCACACUGGGACUGAGACACGGCCCAGACUCCUACGGGAGGCAG
rnacentral:rRNA from 1 species